AGCAUAUCAAUAAGCGGAGGAAAAGAAACCACRGGGAUUGGCGCUAGUAACGGCGAGUGAAGCGGCAACAGCUCAAAUUUGAAAUCUGGCGUCUUUGGCGUCCGAGUUGUAAUUUGCAGAGGGCGCUUUGGCAUUGGCAGCGGUCCAAGUUCCUUGGAACAGGACGUCACAGAGGGUGAGAAUCCCGUACGUGGUCGCUAGCCUUUACCGUGUAAAGCCCCUUCGACGAGUCGAGUUGUUUGGGAAUGCAGCUCUAAAUGGGAGGUAAAUUUCUUCUAAAGCUAAAUACUGGCCAGAGACCGAUAGCGCACAAGUAGAGUGAUCGAAAGAUGAAAAGCACUUUGGAAAGAGAGUUAAAAAGCACGUGAAAUUGUUGAAAGGGAAGCGCUUGCAGCCAGACUUGCCUGUAGUUGCUCAUCCGGGUUUUUACCCGGUGCACUCUUCUAUAGGCAGGCCAGCAUCAGUUUGGGCGGUUGGAUAAAGGUCUCUGUCACGUACCUCCUCUCGGGGAGAACUUAUAGGGGAGACGUAAUGCAACCAGCCUGGACUGAGGUCCGCGCAUCUGCUAGGAUGCUGGCGUAAUGGCUGUAAGCGGCCCGUCUUGAAACACGGACCAAGGAGUCUAACAUCUAUGCGAGUGUUUGGGUGUCAAGCCCGAGCGCGUAAUGAAAGUGAACGGAGGUGGGAACCUUUCGGGGUGCACCAUCGACCGAUCCUGAUGUCUUCGGAUGGAUUUGAGUAAGAGCAUAGCUGUUGGGACCCGAAAGAUGGUGAACUAUGCUUGAAUAGGGUGAAGCCAGAGGAAACUCUGGUGGAGGCUCGCAGCGGUUCUGACGUGCAAAUCGAUCGUCAAAUUUGGGCAUAGGGGCGAAAGACUAAUCGAACUAUCUAGUAGCUGG
rnacentral:rRNA from 1 species